UACGUAGGGUGCGAGCGUUUAAUCGGAAUUACUGGGCGUAAAGCGUGCGCAGGCGGUUUUGUAAGCCAGAUGUGAAAUCCCCGGGCUUAACCUGGGAAUGGCAUUUGGGACUGCAAGGCUUGAGUGCGGCAGAGGAGACUGGAAUUCCUGGUGUAGCAGUGAAAUGCGUAGAUAUCAGGAGGAACACCGAUGGCGAAGGCAGGUCUCUGGGCUGACACUGACGCUCAUGCACGAAAGCGUGGGGAGCAAACAGGAUUAGAAACC
rnacentral:rRNA from 1 species